CCUACGGGAGGCAGCAGUGGGGCAUAUUGCUCAAUGGGCUAAAGCCUGACGCAGCGAAGCCGCGUGAGGGAUGAAGGUCUUCGGAUCGUAAACCUCUGUCAGCAGGGAAGAACGGUCACUGUGCUAAUCAGCAGUGAAUUGACGGUACCUGCAAAGGACGCACCGGCUAACUCCGUGCCAGCAGCCGCGGUAAUACGGAGGGUGCGAGCGGUAAUCGGAAUUACUGGGCGUAACACGCUCGUAGGCGGUAUGUCAAGUCAAGGGUGAAAGCCCCGCGCUCAACGUGGGAACUGCAUUUGAAACUGGCAGACUGGAGUGUGUGAGAGGAUAGUGGAAU
rnacentral:rRNA from 1 species